rnacentral:rRNA from 1 species
CCCGCCUGUAUAAUGGUGCAUUGAAUAAUGGAAUAGGACCCCGGAUCCUAUUUUGCUGGUUUUUGGAGCUCAGGGGUAAUGAUUAAGAGGAACAGGGCGGGGGCAUCCGUAUUACGGCGUUAGAGGUGAAAUUCUUGGAUCGUCGUAAGACGCCCUACAGCGAAAGCAUUUGCCAAGUAUGUUUUCAUUAAUCAAGAACGAAAGUCAGAGGUUCGAAGACGAUCAGAUACCGUCGUAGUUCUGACCGUAAACUAUGCCAACUGGCAGCCCGUCGGCGUUGCUCUAUUCGACUCGGCGGGAGGCCUACCCGAAAGGAAAGUCUACGGGUUCCAGGGGAAGUAUGGUUGCAAAGCUGAAACUUAAAGGAAUUGACGGAAGGGCACCACCAGGAGUGGAGCCUGCGGCUUAAUUUGACCCAACACGGGAAAACUCACCUGGUCCGGACACUGGAAGGAUUGACAGAUUGAAAGCUCUUUCUUGAUUCAGUGGGUGGUGGUGCAUGGCCGUUCUUAGUUGGUGGAGUGAUUUGUCUGGUUAAUUCCGAUAACGAACGAGACUCUAGCCUGCUAACUAGUUCGCCGACAGCUCGUUGUCGCGCGGCGCCAUUUCGGUGGCAAACUUCUUAGAGGGACAGGUGGCGUAUAGCCACACGAAGUAGAGCAAUAACAGGUCUGUGAUGCCCUUAGAUGUCCAGGGCCGCACGCGCGCUACACUGAAAGAAUCAACGUGGAUGCCCACCUGCUCCGAGAGGAGUGGGAAACCCGAUGAAUCUCUUUCGUGAUGGGGAUUGGGGCUUGUAAUUAUUCCCCAUGAACGAGGAAUUCCCAGUAAGCGUCAGUCAUCAGCUGGCGUUGAUUACGUCCCUGCCCUUUGUACACACCGCCCGUCGCUACUACCGAUUGAAUGGUUUAGUGAGACCCUCGGACUGGAAUCCGUUUGCUGCUUUCGGGUGGCGGACGGGGACGGAAAGACGGUCGAACUUGAUCAUUUAGAGGAAGUAAAAGUCGUAACAAGGUUUCCGUAGGUGAACCUGCGGAAG